UUAAAAUGUGGCCCAAACAUAUCAAUCUUGAGGGUGAAUCAGCUGAAUUUCCCACAUAAGGUUAUUAAUUUCUCAAUUUAUUUUUACUUUUCUGUGUGCACAACUAGGAAAACUUGACUCCACAAUAUUCUAUGGGGAAGCUGAGACACACAUGGAUUAUGAAAUCUAUCCAACGUCCCACAGUUAAGAAAUACUGAUUUGAACCCAGACAGUGCGACUUUUGAAACCCUUGACUGCUGUGUUAUAUCUAGGGGACUAGAUGGAUAGAAUUGUACUCACCAAGCAAGAAUAGGAAUCAUUCAGUCUGUGAUCCAAAGUCUGCCUCUGGAGUAUUCUAAAAAGGAAGGCGUGGUCAAGCUUGCAAGGAUUUGCUGAAAUAAACU